GUGCUGUGUUUUGCAAGUUUUGGGCUCCAAAAUAAAUAGGUCACUGGUGAAAUUCACUGGCUCGGCAGGUGACUCAUAGGUCUCCAAGGAAACCGUCAUCUUUAAAUCAGUUUUUUAACCACACACUCUAACAAUUCAAAGCGUAUGUGUCUGUUUAAGUGAAAGCAAGAAUUUUAAUCCUUUCAAUGAAUUGGCGGGCUUGAACAGAGCAGAUAUGUCCGGAUCUGUAAGUGAACGCAAGAAUGUUAACCAGUGAAAUGAAUUGCCGGGAUGGAAAAACCCUCUUCACUCUGAGACUAUUGAUGUGGCAUUUCUGUAUAUGGAAGGGACUGAUUUAUAUGUGUGGGAAACAUGGAUUCUAAGAACAGAUAAACAACAGAAAAAGUGAUAAGUGAUGCAAAUAUGACCUUUCAAAACUCUACAGUUAGAACUUGAAGACUCUUAUAUCAAAGUGAUAUUUAGUAGUGGA